rnacentral:rRNA from 1 species
AAUGGGCGAAAGCCUGACGGAGCAACGCCGCGUGAGGGAUGAAGGCCUCUGGGCUGUAAACCUCUUUUAUCAAGGAAGAAGAUCUGACGGUACUUGAUGAGUAAGCCACGGCUAAUUCCGUGCCAGCAGCCGCGGUAAUACGGGAGUGGCAAGCGUUAUCCGGAAUUAUUGGGCGUAAAGCGUCCGCAGGCGGCCCAGAAAGUCUGCUGUUAAAACGUGGAGCUUAACUCCAUCAUGGCAGUGGAAACUGUUGGGCUUGAGUGUGGUAGGGGCAGAGGGAAUUCCCGGUGUAGCGGUGAAAUGCGUAGAUAUCGGGAAGAACACCAGUGGCGAAGGCGCUCUGCUGGGCCAUAACUGACGCUCAUGGACGAAAGCCAGGGGAGCGAAAGGGAUU